GGUCAUCAAAAUAAUAAGGAUACAAUAUUGUUCAUAAAGGAGCGACAUGAGCAAUGGUAGAAAGAGAUGGCGACACUGUGCGACAAGGAUAGAGUAUACGAAUACCAGUGGAAAGAAAGGGCGAUAGUGUGUGACAAGGACACAGUAUACGAAUGCCAGUAGGAGAGAGCAAUAUUAUUCGACACACAAUUCUAAGGACAGACAAUUCAAUGGCGAAUUCACGGUAUUCAACAGAGACAGAGACAGAGAUGCACAUACAAAACUAUGCACAUUUGUUAGUGAACUGUUCCUUACGCUGAACUGAUAUUGUCCAAAGAAUCGUAAGAGAAAUAAAUCAACAUUCUUUCGAGGCGUGGGAAGAUUUACUUCUUUCUCGAGGAAGCCGGCCCUGAGAGCGAUCUGGUUCUCCUUCAUGCGACGUGCAUCCCGCGAUCGUUUCGCUGCCAUGUUAUUCUUCCUACGACGCGCCCAGUAUUUGUCAUCCUUCAGGUCAUCCGGAACGAACUGUAGCCGGUAGCGGGGCAUGGAAAAGAGCAGGAAAUUAGAACGAACGUAGAAAUUGAUGUAUUUUAAAACUAUAAUGAGAAAUUGUAAAGAAAAACCAAAACCCACUCCGAUUUCUUAAUGGAUAUUGAAAAUCCUAUUAAAGAUCAUAGAGUGACUGUUAAAUCUUACAAAUUGAAUUUCAAUAAAUUAUUUAUAUGGUUCUACGAGAUAAAAAUAAAAGAAUUAGUUGUACAGUAGAA